rnacentral:rRNA from 1 species
ACGAACGCUGGCGGCGUGCCUAACACAUGCAAGUCGAGCGGAGACAGUGAGUAGCUUGCUAUGAGCUGUUUUAGCGGCGGACGGGUGAGUAACGCGUGAGCAACCUUUCCCAGACAGGGGAAUAACACACCGAAAGGUGUACUAAUACCGCAUAAGACCACGGUUUCACAUGGAACUGAGGUAAAAGAUUUAUCGGUUUGGGGUGGGCUCGCGUCCGAUUAGGUAGUUGGUGAGGUAACGGCCCACCAAGCCGACGAUCGGUAGCCGACCUGAGAGGGUGAUCGGCCACAUUGGGACUGAGACACGGCCCAAACUCCUACGGGAGGCAGCAGUGGGGAAUAUUGGGCAAUGGGGGGAACCCUGACCCAGCAACGCCGCGUGGAGGAAGAAGGUUUUCGGAUCGUAAACUCCUGUCCUUGGAGACGAGUAGAAGACGGUAUCCAAGGAGGAAGCCCCGGCUAACUACGUGCCAGCAGCCGCGGUAAUACGUAGGGGGCAAGCGUUGUCCGGAAUAAUUGGGCGUAAAGGGCGCGUAGGCGGCUCGGUAAGUCUGGAGUGAAAGUCCUGCUUUUAAGGUGGGAAUUGCUUUGGAUACUGUCGGGCUUGAGUGCAGGAGAGGUUAGUGGAAUUCCCAGUGUAGCGGUGAAAUGCGUAGAGAUUGGGAGGAACACCAGUGGCGAAGGCGACUAACUGGACUGUAACUGACGCUGAGGCGCGAAAGUGUGGGGAGCAAACAGGAUUAGAUACCCUGGUAGUCCACACUGUAAACGAUGAAUGCUAGGUGUAGGGGGUAUCGACCCCUUCUGUGCCGCAGUCAACACAAUAAGCAUUCCGCCUGGGGAGUACGGCCGCAAGGUUGAAACUCAAAGGAAUUGACGGGGGCCCGCACAAGCAGCGGAGCAUGUGGUUUAAUUCGACGCAACGCGAAGAACCUUACCAGGUCUUGACAUCCACUUAAACUUACAGAGAUGUAAGGUGUGCUUGCACAAAGUGAGACAGGUGGUGCAUGGUUGUCGUCAGCUCGUGUCGUGAGAUGUUGGGUUAAGUCCCGCAACGAGCGCAACCCCUGUACUUAGUUGCCAGCAUGUAGAGAUGGGAACUCUAAGUAGACUGCCGCGAAUAACGCGGAGGAAGGUGGGGAUGACGUCAAAUCAUCAUGCCCUUUAUGUCUUGGGCUACACACGUACUACAAUGGCUGUAACAGAGAGAAGCAACACCGCGAGGUAGAGCGAAACUCCAAAAGCAGUCUCAGUUCGGAUUGAAGGCUGAAAUUCGCCUUCAUGAAGCCGGAAUUGCUAGUAAUGGCAGGUCAGCAUACUGCCGUGAAUACGUUCCCGGGCCUUGUACACACCGCCCGUCACACCAUGAGAGUUGGGAAUACCCGAAGCCUGUGAGCCAACUAAUUUAUUAGAGGCAGCAGUCGAAGGUAGAAUCAAUGAUUGGGGUG